rnacentral:rRNA from 1 species
CCUACGGGUGGCAGCAGUGGGGAAUAUUGUGCAAUGGGCGAAAGCCUGACGCAGCGACGCCGCGUGAGGGAUGAAGGUCUUCGGAUCGUAAACCUCUGUCAGCAGGGAAGAACGGUCACUGUGCUAAUCAGCAGUGAAUUGACGGUACCUGCAAAGGAAGCACCGGCUAACUCCGUGCCAGCAGCCGCGGUAAUACGGAGGGUGCGAGCGUUAAUCGGAAUUACUGGGCGUAAAGCGCUCGUAGGCGGUAUGUCAAGUCAAGGGUGAAAUCCCCGCGCUCAACGUGGGAACUGCCUUUGAAACUGGCAAACUGGAGUGUGGGAGAGGAUAGUGGAAUUCCAGGUGUAGGAGUGAAAUGCGUAGAUAUCAGGAGGAACAUCAGUGGCGAAGGCGACUAUCUGGCACAUAACUGACGCUGAGGAGCGAAAGCGUGGGUAGCAUACAGGAUUAGAUACCCCGGUAGUC